ACCGAGCCUCCCGGAUUUAAAGCGGCAGGAGCUGGUUAGCCGGAUAGAAUGUGGGUGCCGAGGGCCGGUGGGGGCCACCGCAGACUUCUUUCUGUCCCUGCUCUUCAGCGUCUCUGAAACCCCUGGCAGCCUGCGGAGAAACGAUCUUUUCUUCGUCUCUCAGCUUAUUUGGGGCCUUUUUUUUUUUUUUUAACUUGGGUGGAGGAAGUGGCUUCUAGCGACGGACACACACGGUGCCAUUUGGUAUUGCGGAUGCUGGAGUCUGGUUAUUGAGUAGACAGAUGCUUGCUGGAACGUCCAGUGAAACUUUAUUUACAAAAUCAGGCGCCAGCCCUUGGGCCCUCGUUUGCGGAUAUUUUUAAAAUAGCUUUAAAUAUUAAUAAGCGUAUUAAAAUUGCCUUAAAUGUUAGUUAUCUUAAAUAUUGUUAGAUUAAUAUUAAUUAAUCUUGAUUGGCGACAUUUUUAGCGUCCCAUAAAUUUUGCUCCUUGCUGUGAUCUGGGUCCUGCUUCUUACUUGGCCCAUCUAUCCAUCCUGGAGUAGAAAAGUCCUGAAGCAUCUGGCCACCUAGGUACCACCUGCGUCCUUCUGGGACUUUGUAUUUACUUACAUUUUUGUAAAAUAUAUACAUUUUUUAUUUUUGAGAGACAGGAUGUCACUCUGUCACCCAGGCUGGAGUGCAGUGGCGGCAUCAUGGUUCACUUCAGCCCUGAACUCUUGGGCUCCAGUGAUCCUCCCACCUCGGUCUCCCAAGUGGCAAGGACAACAAAUGUGUGUCACCACGCCUGGCCAAUUUUAUAUAUUAUAUUAUAUUAUAUUAUAUUAUAUUAUAUUAUAUUAUAUUAUAUUAUAUUUAUUUUGAGACGGAGUCUCGCUCUGUCACCCAGGCUGGAGUGCAGUGGCACCAUAUCGGCUCCCUGCAACCUCAGCCUCCUGGGUUCAAGCAAUUCUCCUGCCUCAGCCUCCCGAGUAGCUGGGACUACAGGCACGUGCCACCACGCCUGGCUAAUUUUUUGCAUUUUCAGUAGAGAUGGGGUUUCACCGUGUUAGCCAGGAUGGUCUCGAUCUCCUGACCUCGUGAUCUGCCUGCCUCAGCCUCCCAAAGUGCUGGGAUUACAGGCGUGAGCCACAGUGCCUGGCCUGUAUUAUAUUUAUUUUGAGACAGGGUCUUACCCUGUCGCUCAGGCUGGAGUGCAGUGGUGCUAUCUCAGCUCACCGCAACCUCCUCCUCCCGGCUCAAGCUGAUCCUCCCGCCUCAGCCUCCCGAGUAUCUGGGACUACUUUUUGUAGAGAUGGCGUCUUGCUAUGUUGCCCAGGCUGGUCUCAAACUCUCGGUCUCAAGCUCCUGGGCUCAAGAGAUCCUCCCAUCUGGGCCUCCCAAAGUUCUUAGGAUUACAGACGUGAGCUACUGUGCCUGGCUAGGGAAUAUUUUUGAAAGUAGAGUUCUUGCAGGCUAAAGGAGCAGGCAGCACAGAUGAGAGGAGACAUCUGAGUUGCUUUAAAAGGAAGGGCAAAAUGUGGUGACCAGAGAGGAAAGUGAAAAGCUUUCCAGCAGGCUCACGGCAGGAAAGGAGGGUCAGGACAGGGAACUAUGUGUACAGAUAUUGAGGUACAAAUAAGAUGGCAUCUCAAUGUGUUACCCAGGCUGGUCUUGAACUCCUGGACUCAAUCCUCCUACCUUGGCCUCCCAAAGUGCUGGGAUUAUAGGUGUGAGUCAUCCUGUCUGGCCUAUUUUCUGAGGACUGAUUUUGUAUUUUAUUAUUAUUAUUUUAGGACCACAUAACUCUGUUUAGAAAAUGUUUCUAAUGUAUUGAGUGCUUCAAAGGUAUAUUAGUUCGAUUUCACACUGCUAUAAGGAAUUGCCUGAGGCUGAGUAAUAUAUAAAAUAAACAGGUUUAAUUGACUCAGUUCCAUAUAACUGGGGAGGCCGCAGGAAACUUACAAUCAUGGCUGAAGGUGAAGGGGAAGCAAGGCACAUCUUACUUGUUGGCAGGAGAGAGAGAGUGCAGGGGAAACUGCCACUUUUUCUUUUUUUUUUUUGGAGACAGAGUCUCACUCUGUUGCCCAGGCUGGAGUGCAGUGGCGCAAUCUUGGCUCACUGCAAGCUUGGCCUCCCGGGUUCACGUCAUUCUCCUGCCUCAGCAUCCCGAGUAGCUGGGACUACAGGCGCCCGCCACUACGCCUGGCUAAUUUUUUGUAUUUUUAGUAGAGACGAGGUUUCACGUGUUAGUCAGGAUGGUCUCGAUCUUCUGCCCUCAGGUAAUCCACCCGCCUUGGCCUCCCAAAGUGCUGGGAUUACAGGUGUGAGCCACCAUGCCCAGCCAGAAACUGCCACUUUUAAACCAUCAGAUCUCAUUGAGAACUCCCUCACUAUCACGAGAACCGCAUGAGGGAAACCACCCCCAUGAUCUGAUCACCUCCCACCAGGUCCUGCCCUCAACAUGUGGGGAUUACAAUUCAAGAUGAGAUUUGGGUCAGGAAACAGAGCCAAACCAUAUCAAGAGCCUCUGGUAACCACUGUUCUACUCAAUACUUCUAUGAGGUGAACUUCUUUGGAUUCCACAUAUGAUCAAGAUCAUGAGGAAGGAGGAGCAAGUCUUCUUUGUCAUGCUAUUAAGAAAAUACCCAGAGUCACAGCACCAUGAUCUCCUUGUGAAGCAGAACAAGUAAUAUAAAACUGAUCUAAAGAGGCCUCCCCUCUACUCUUAUCUGUCUGGUCGAGUCAUUUGGGUCCAAGUGGGCACCAUUGUGGGAGGGUGGGAGGACUCAUCACUGGGGGCCCAGGCAUCAUUGGCAUGUGGCCUCCUGUGUUAGUUUGUUCUCAUGCUGCAAAUAAAGACAACUUGAGACUGGAUAAUUUAUAAAGGAAAGAGGUUUAAUGGACUCACAGUUCCACAUGGCUAAGGAGUACUCACAAUCAUGGCGGAAGACAAAGGAAGAGCAAAGGGACAUCUUACAUGGCAGCAGGCAAGAGAGCGUGUGCAGGGGAAGUCCCCUUUAUAAAACCAUCAGAUCUCAUGAGACUUAUUCACUAUCGCGAGAACAGCAUGAGAAAAACCCACCCCCAUGAUUCAAUUACCUCCCACCGUGUCCCUCCCAUGUCAUGUGAAGAUUAUUACAACUCAAGGUCACAGGAACCUUGAUCUGUGCUUGCUGCAAGGAUCAUCAAACAUAGAGCGG
rnacentral:lncRNA from 1 species